AAGUAUCCAUGCGUGACAUGAAGUGCACGUGUACGGGAGUUCUCCAUCAUGUGUUUUUAUCAGGGGACAAUCCCCCUGGAGCAACAUGGAGUAAAGUGUCUUGCUCAAGGACACACUGGUGGUGGAUGCUGGGAUCGAACCAGCAACCUUUGAUUUACCAGUUCAGUGGUUUAACCCACUAGACCACCAUCUCCACGUUGAUUUAUGUGGAAGCCACAAGAAACCUGCUUGACAGCGUCUGUCAAAGAGAGACACAAGUACAGAUGAAUGAAGAAAGACAGGCGGGUAUUUACUGGCCAUUAAUUGUCACACAUUUAAUUGGCCUUAAAAGCUCUGAAUUAUACCAAUACAAUAACAUCAACAGGUCACGCUACAUCUGCAGCCAUAAACUCAAACCUGUAGAACAACAAACAUCAACAGGAACACAAAAGAUUCGCCUUCAUGUUCAUGUGCGGCCAGCUAACUAUCAAAUGUUCAAUGAAAAAGGAUUGAAACGCUCCACUAACAAUAUCCACAGCUGGAGAUCACGUGUUAACCCCGUGACAUGAGCUUCAACAGAUCCAGCAGCAGAUCUCCUGAAGUCUUCUUCUGUGAAGCGUUGUCUUGAGAUACGAAUCUCACGUCAUCCACACAUUCUGAAUCCAGAACACAGCUCUCUGUAAAACAACAAGUUCCAGAGCUUCAGAUUGACAUAAAGAGUGAAGAAUCAGUUUGUCAUGAGCAGUGUUGACAAAGGUUAUUAAAUGACAGUCACUCAUUACUUAGUGAUUUAGUUACACCUAACACUGGUAAUGAGUGAGACUCACGAGAAUGGCAGCAGACCCCCGGAGCGGCGCAGCGGCCACCUUCAGCUCCACACAAUCU